CACCACAACGGGUGGAGCCUGCGGUUUAAUUGGACUCAACGCCGGGCAGCUCACCGGAUAAGACAGCUGGAUGAUAGCCGGGCUGAAGACUCUGCUUGACUAGCUGAGAGGAGGUGCAUGGCCGUCGUCAGUUCGUACUGUGAAGCAUCCUGUUAAGUCAGGCAACGAGCGAGACCCACGCCAACAGUUGCCAGCAUGUCCUCCGGGAUGAUGGGGACACUGUUGGGACCGCCUCUGCUAAAGAGGAGGAAGGAAUGGGCAACGGUAGGUCAGCAUGCCCCGAAUUAUCCGGGCUACACGCGGGCUACAAUGGUCAGGACAAUGGGUAUCGACACCGAGAGGUGGAGGCAAUCUCCUAAACCUGUCCUUAGUUCGGAUUGUGGGCUGCAACUCGCCCACAUGAAGCUGGAAUCCGUAGUAAUCGCGUUUCAAAAUAGCGCGGUGAAUAUGUCCCUGCUCCUU
rnacentral:rRNA from 1 species